GGCACGUUUUCGUCACGACACACAUUUUGUAGCACACUUUCCUUUCCAUUUUUAUCUACUUUGGAUCCAUUUUCAUCAUGACAGGGGCUUCUGAAACCACGACAACAGAGCUAAAUGCUACAAGUUCUAAAACUUAAAUAUCUCCCCCGCCACCACAACCCCGAGACCCAGAGACCAUCAAUCCUAACUAUCCACGGAACAAUACAGCCCAAAGCAUGAUGGCAGUAGCUGCCUUUGCCAAGUCAUGCGAGGCCUUCACUUACGCCAUUCUCAACAUAAUCGGGGGACUGACUGGCUGGGGGCUGGGCAUCAGCAUUUUUCACUGCGCUUUCUUGAUCUUUCAGAUGGUGAUCUGUGCCUACAGCACCCUGAUUAACAUUGAUGUUAAGGAUCAUCAAAAGAAAUUUCUACCCUUGGCCACAAUCUUGAUGCUCUUUACGUCCAUCGACCUUUUCUUUUCUGGGGUGACCGGGUCCAUGAUAAGAGAAAGUAUCUUUUAUGCUCGUCGGACCUAAGUUUCCCUUUUUUUUCUUCCCCCCCAAAUAAAAAUGAAUGUCUUUUUUUCUCGUCUCCUUUUUUUCUUUUCUUUUUCUCUCUUUGUUCUUUUCUUUAAUGUUCUGUUUUAAUUGUCAUUUUCCUUGUCUGAUAAUAAACAAGAAUUAAUCUCUC